rnacentral:rRNA from 1 species
AUUGAACGCUGGCGGCAGGCCUAACACAUGCAAGUCGAGCGGAUGAAGGGAGCUUGCUCCCGGAUUCAGCGGCGGACGGGUGAGUAAUGCCUAGGAAUCUGUCUGGUAGUGGGGGAUAACGUCCGGAAACGGGCGCUAAUACCGCAUACGUCCUGAGGGAGAAAGUGGGGGAUCUUCGGACCUCACGCUAUCAGAUGAGCCUAGGUCGGAUUAGCUAGUUGGUGGGGUAAAGGCCUACCAAGGCGACGAUCCGUAACUGGUCUGAGAGGAUGAUCAGUCACACUGGAACUGAGACACGGUCCAGACUCCUACGGGAGGCAGCGGUGGGGAAUAUUGGACAAUGGGCGAAAGCCUGAUCCAGCCAUGCCGCGUGUGUGAAGAAGGUCUUCGGAUUGUAAAGCACUUUAAGUUGGGAGGAAGGGCAGUAAGUUAAUACCUUGCUGUUUUGACGUUACCAACAGAAUAAGCACCGGCUAACUUCGUG